rnacentral:lncRNA from 1 species
ACAGGGUGGGGCACUCCUAACAGACUGCCCAGAGAAGGAGAGGCAAGUGUGUGUCAAAUAAGGCCCUCUUCUCCACAGGACUAUUUAGCUCAUACUGCAUCCUCAUGUCUCCACCUGAGCAUUCAGACAGUUUGGAUACAGACACCAACAUACAGCCUUCAGACAGUUUGGAUAUAGACACCAGCAUACAGCCUUCAGACAGUUUGGAUAUAGACACCAGCAUUCAGCCUUCAGACAGUUUGGAUAUAGACACCAGCAUUCAGCCUUCAGACAGUUUGGAUAUAGACACCAGCAUACAGCCUUCAGACAGUUUGGAUAUAGACACCAGCAUACAGCCUUCAGACAGUUUGGAUAUAGACACCAGCAUACAGCCUUCAGACAGUUUGGAUAUAGACACCAGCAUACAGCCUUCAAACAGGUUGGAAAUAGACACCAGCAUACAGCCUUCAAACAGGUUGGAAAUAGACACCAGCUUACAUCCUUCUUCAAGACAUCUCUCUUUUUCUCAUCCUCCUGGUUUUUGACCCUUGCCUGUCCUGACCCUGUACCCACCCACCUGACCACUCUGCCUGACCCUGACUGCCGUCCUUGGCCUCUACUCUGGAUUAUCGACCCCUGCCUGACCUGACCCUGACCCUGCCUGCCGUCCUGUACCUUGGCCUCUACUCUGGAUUACCGACCUCUGCCUGACCUGACCCUGACCCUGCCUGCCGUCCUGUACCUUGGCCUCUACUCUGGAUUAUCGACCUCUGCCUGCCUUGACCUGUCGUUUGCCUGCCCCUGUUACAAUAAACAUUGUUACUUCACACAGUCUGCACUUGGGUCUUACCUUGAUUCCUGAUAUGCUCAGAUCAACUCAAGCAUUAACUGCCCAGGCCAGAUUCUUCAGUGCAUGCAGGUGAAAAACAACAAGCUGUAUCACAAAGGAAUGUUGAGGUGUGUCUCUUGCUCCUUAGCAGUCUGACCCAUGUUAAGGAGAAGACAGCCGUUACAGAAUCCCCCACCAACAACGGACCAAGCAGCGGAGGAAGGAGCAGCGCCAGGAGGAGCAAGAAUCCUGGACCAGGGAGAG